rnacentral:piRNA from 1 species
GCAUAAACUUAGGGAAAAUGAGUGACC